GCCGUGCUGAUCCGAACUGUCACCGGAUGGUGCGCGUGCCUGGCAAUCGCCGGGAUAAGGCAGCGGGGCGCAA
rnacentral:ncRNA from 1 species